rnacentral:rRNA from 1 species
UCGAACGGUAACAGGGAUUAGCUUGCUAAUUUGCUGACGAGUGGCGGACGGGUGAGUAAUGCUUGGGAAUCUGGCUUAUGGAGGGGGAUAACUACGGGAAACUGUAGCUAAUACCGCGUAAUAUCUUCGGAUUAAAGUGUGGGACCGYAAGGCCACAUGCCAUAAGAUGAGCCCAAGUGGGAUUAGGUAGUUGGUGGGGUAAAGGCCUACCAAGCCGACGAUCUCUAGCUGGUCUGAGAGGAUGACCAGCCACACUGGAACUGAGACACGGUCCAGACUCCUACGGGAGGCAGCAGUGGGGAAUAUUGCACAAUGGGGGGAACCCUGAUGCAGCCAUGCCGCGUGAAUGAAGAAGGCCUUCGGGUUGUAAAGUUCUUUCGGUAGCGAGGAAGGUGGUAAUGUUAAUAGCAUUAUCAAUUGACGUUAACUACAGAA